UGCUCUGUGGUGUAACUGGCAACAUCCCUACCUUUGAAGUAGAAGAUUCCAGGUUCAAAUCCUGGCGGGGCAG
rnacentral:tRNA from 1 species